GCGUCGAUAGUUAAGUGGCAUAAUCGAUGCUUCCCAAGCAUUGGUCCCGGGUUCGAUUCCCGGUCGUCGCA